UGCAGGUACGCACCAGCACUUUUUGGAAACAUGAAAUGGUAGAAAACGAUCAUGAGUAUUUUAAACAACAUUUCAGAAUGAGCCGCAGAACUUUCAAUAUACUCUGCAAUGAACUAAAGGAUCUGGAAAUGCAAGAUACAAACUUUAGGAAGUGUAUACCAUUACAAAAAAGAAUAGCCAUUGCAAUAUAUGUAUACACUGGGAUCAUCCGCUGAAUACAGGACAGUUUCAGCUAUCUUUGGGGUAGGAAUAUCCACAGUAUGCAUUAUUGUGACAACAUUUUGUCAGGAAGUUUGGCGUGUUCUUUUCUUUGAUGAAACCAUUUUCUUUCAGUACCACAGCUUCCGAAGAAGAAAAGAACUUCAACUACGCACUUUCGAAAUGUCAAAGAGUUGUUGAAAACUGUUUCGGACACCUUAAAGCAAGAUUUAGGACAAUCGGAAAGGGACUUGAUAAAAUCAACAUCCAAUGCUUGCAAAAUGCAAACAAUAAUUCGCAUAGAGAGCAACCGGAACAAUCAACACAGGUAGAUGAUGCAAGAAAUACACCUUCCAUUAUCCGAAAUGCCAUCAAAAUGCAAUUAGGUAAGAUCACAAAAUACCUGUACAACAAAUGUACACAUACUGCACAUACUUAAGUAUAUACACAUUACAUAUCUACAAUACGCAACAUAUCGACGAACGCAACGUCGCGACGCAUGGUGAAGUGGUGCUUUUGUAUAGCUCACACUCCACCGUCUUCUCCCAUCGCGCAAAAUACUUCUUUCCGGAGCCUUGACGGAGUAGCCCGCGAUGAACUAGAUGCAGACUCGGCCGACGGAGUUUUUACAUCUUCUUCGUACUGCGAUGAGGUUGCCCCGCAGCUCAGACUCCUUUUCAGCCCAGAGUUCGAGCAGGUACUCCUCAUCCUGGCUCCCCACAGUUUCCUUUUUUUAUUUUUUUUUCUUCCAUAUUCUGUAAAUAAGAAACAAAAAGCAAUAAUUCUUAUUUUGUAAAGAUAAAUUGUAUAAAUAAUAUUACUUACCACGGCCAAAUUGUUUUGAUUGUUUGAAUAUAUGUAAUUGUUUUGAACAAAAUUUCAAAAUAAAAUAUUUGUUUUGACAGCA